ACACAAUGUAAGAUAUGUUGGAUGAAAACCGGAAGGCUUGAGACUGUCCCAUAGACUGCCAAAUACAUAACAGUGUCAAGGUCCAGGAAAGUAUAAAAAGCAUCGUCAGAAUACUCCAUCUGCCAUCAGUGAUUCUACCGUAAUGUUAUGAAGCGACGAGAUACUUUUUGUACACGAAGAAAACAAAAAUAACAAAUUUAUUCAACAAUUCCUCUCCUCUGUCUCUCUCCAAAUUUGUCUUUGACAAAUCUGAGCAGCACGCAGGUGGCAUACGCUCUUCUGUAUCAGCCGCGACACUUUGGUUUGAAAGACAACAGCGCAACACAGCUGACACAGAAGAGCGUACGCCAGCUGCGUACUGCUCAGGUUUGUCAAAGACAAAUUUGGAGAGAGACAGAGGAGAGGAAUUGUUGAAUAAAGUCAUUACUUUUGUUUUACUACCGGUUUUCAUCCAAAAUAUCUGAAAUUGUGUUUAGCAGACGAACAAACGGAUUUGGAACAAGAUGGGGGUAAGUGAUUGACAAAAUUUUUAUUUUGGGAUGGAGUAUCCAUCCAUCCAUUGAUUAUUCACCAACUGAAAAUAUUUCUAAAUUAAUUUUUCAUCAUUACACAUUGUUUUCAAUAAUCCUGAGACUUCAUUUUAACGUUUUAAUCAGACACCAUUGAUUUGAACAAUAUAAAGGUUGCUUUAUGUCAUUAAAUAUUGCCAAAAAUAUGGUCACCGUUUGUAUGCAUUUUAGUGUUUCCAGCCCUUCAUCUCUCUCUGUCUCACCUUCAUCAUUCUCUUACACUCAUCAGUAGUGUGUGUUCGUGACUGUGCUGGUGGGUGUGUACGCUGAUCUGUGAAAUUAUGAAUGGGAUGUGUGUGUGUGCGCGUGUAUGUGAGAGAGAGAAAAAGGGAGGGAUGGAAAGACACUGCAUCAUGAAAGGAGAAAGAUUCACUCACUCGCUGCUCACCUUCACAGACAGACAGGAGAAGGGUGGCUGCACAGCUAGAUCAGAUUGUGUUUGAGGAGACGCUCCGUCUGAGCUCAAGACUAAAUCAUGGAUCAGAAGUCCACUUCACCCCAGAGACAUGCGGUGAAAAGCAGGUCGAAGUCUACAGAGGAAGUCCAGCAAGCUAAAAAGGUUAAUUGAUAGUUGUAUCAAUAUAAAUGAAUAUACUUUCCUUCAGCAGAUUUUUAUUUUAUUUGUGUGUGUGGAAAGUAUAGGCCUAGUUAAUAAUAAAACUGGAUGCUCAACGUAAAUGUUGAUUUUG
ensembl:lncRNA